AGCAGCCGCGGUAAUUCCAGCUCCGAUAGCGUAUAUUAAAGUUGUUGCAGUUAAAAAGCUCGUAGUUGAAUUUCGAGACCGGUUUACUGGUCGUGCUUUUGUACGUACUGGUAUUAUUGGUUUCUCCUUUCUGACGAACUAUAAUGCCAUUAAUUUGGUGUUUUAGGGAAUCAGGACUGUUACUUUGAAAAAAUUAGAGUGUUUAAAGCAGGCUCACGCUUGAAUACAUUAGCAUGGAAUAACGGAAUAGGACGUUUGAUUCUAUUUUGUUGGUUUCUAGGAUCGACGUAAUGAUUAAUAGGGAUAGUUGGGGGCAUUAGUAUUCAAUUGUCAGAGGUGAAAUUCUUGGAUUUAUUGAAGACUAACUACUGCGAAAGCAUUUGCCAAGGAUGUUUUCAUUAAUCAAGAACGAAAGUUAGGGGAUCGAAGACGAUCAGAUACCGUCGUAGUCUUAACCAUAAACUAUGCCGACUAGGGAUCGGAUGAUGUUAAUUUU
rnacentral:rRNA from 1 species